CUCGAAGUCAUUUUUACAGUGAACUGCCCCCUCCCCCUCUCCUGUGACAUUUUUCCAAAUCGGAAGAAAAUGAAGUGUAAGUCGAGCCUUGCCGCAGGCAGCGCUUGGUCCCUGCUUUCAGAUGGGGAGCGCUGGAGAGGAAGGCGCUGUCCCGGGGCAAAGCUAGACCCCCGGGGAACCUGGUGAUGACUCCCUCCCCAGGCGGGCGCCUGGCCGUCCCGCCUAGAGACCGAAGAGCCAGCGACGUUGAGGUCCAUCUGCGCGCGGGGCGCGGGUGCACUCGGAUGGCGCCGGUCACCAGCCGCGCGGGUUCAAGUGCGCUCGCUUCUGCGCAGGACGCCGCGACUCCGGGGACCGAGUCCUCCCGGCUCGGCCUGGCGCUGGAGUUGGAGCGCUCCGCUGCCCCGGGGACCCCUCUCCCCGCCUCCCGGACGCGCGGACCAGGAACGCGCGCCUCGGCUUGGGGUGCGGCCAGAGGAGUGCUGGCGGGGAGCGGGAUCCCGCGCUUGCUGGGCCCGGCCGGAUCCCGGCCACGCCACAGGGACUUUUCCCUGCCCACCGUGGAGGCUACGCCGGGGAAAGAAGUCCCACUUCCUCCACGCCGCUCGAGUGCGCGCCGCGGUCGGCAGGAAAUGGCUGGGACGCGCAGCCUGCGCCUUGGCAGUCCGCCCGGCUGUGCAGAAGAGAAGCGUCUCCCACCCAAGUCUCCCCUCCCCAGAGUCCCGCGCAGUGAUACUACAUCCGGCCAAAAGGAUAGAUGCUGA
rnacentral:lncRNA from 1 species